CCUACGGGCGGCAGCAGUGAGGAAUAUUGGUCAAUGGACGAGAGUCUGAACCAGCCAAGUAGCGUGAAGGAUGACUGCCCUAUGGGUUGUAAACUUCUUUUAUCUGGGAAUAAAAUGUUCCACGUGUGGGAUUUUGUAUGUACCAUAUGAAUAAGGAUCGGCUAACUCCGUGCCAGCAGCCGCGGUAAUACGGAGGAUCCGAGCGUUAUCCGGAUUGAUUGGGUUUAAAGGGAGCGUAGGUGGAUUGUUAAGUCAGUUGUGAAAGUUUGCGGCUCAACCGUAAAAUUGCAGUUGAAACUGGCAGUCUUGAGUACAGUAGAGGUGGGCGGAAUUCGUGGUGUAGCGGUGAAAUGCUUAGAGAUCACGAAGAACUCCGAUUGCGAAGGCAGCUCACUGGACUGCAACUGACACUGAGGCUCGAAAGUGUGGGUAUCAAACAGGAUUAGAUACCCCUGUAGUC
rnacentral:rRNA from 1 species